AUGCUUAAGUCUUCUGGAAAGGAGCGCCAUGGAGGGUGAUAGCCCCGUCUAGCAUUGACCUCAUAUAGGAUCUUAACAUGGAGUCGAGUUGUUUGGGAAUGCAGCUCAAAUGGGUGGUAUGCUCCAUCUAAAGCUAAAUAUCUGCGAGAGACCGAUAGUAAACAAGUACUGUGAGGGAAAGAUGAAAAGAACUUUGAAAAGAGAGUGAAAGAGUACGUGAAAUUGUUGAAAUGGAAGGGUAAGCCGCUAACCAUGUAGAACCGUGUUGGGGGGGAGAAUGAUCCGCUGUAAAAAGUACCCCCGCGGAAUAUUAUAUAUCCAUCUAUUUUUCCCGCCAGAGCGCGAGUAUUUAGUGU
rnacentral:rRNA from 1 species